rnacentral:rRNA from 1 species
CAGUCGCCGCGGGAAUACGAAGGGUGCAAGCGUUACUCGGAAUUACUGGGCGUAAAGCGUGCGUAGGCGGUUUGUUAAGUCUGUUGUGAAAUCCCCGGGCUCAACCUGGGAAUGGCAAUGGAUACUGGCAAGCUAGAGUGUGUCAGAGGAUGGUGGAAUUCCCGGUGUAGCGGUGAAAUGCGUAGAGAUCGGGAGGAACAUCAGUGGCGAAGGCGGCCAUCUGGGACAACACUGACGCUGAGGCACGAAAGCGUGGGGAGCAAACAGGAUUAGAUACCCGCGUAGUCCCUGUCUCUUAUAC